AGUUGGGGAAGGCUUUUGGGAGAAGGCGACAUUUCAGCAGAGACCUGAAAGGAGAAACUGGAAACAGUUUAAUGUGACUACUGCGAAAGACACGACCGCUUCAGAUGGGCAGUGAAAAGGACGAUGGAAAGGCCAGGACACCACGGAAGUUCUGAAGGGGUAGUGGGAACCGCUACUCACUAAACAUACAUUUCCUGAAAGCAGAAGAGAUUCAAUUGCUGUUAUUCACAUGAUUACUAUCGUGCCAGGAGGGAGUGUCAGGGAAGUUAACAAAACAGGCCAGGUGUGGUGGCUCACAGCUGUAAUCCCGGCACUUUGGGAGGCCGAGGUGGGCUGAUUGCUUGAGGUCAGCAGUUUGAGACAAACCUGAGCAACAUGGGUUUGCAGAAUACAGAGCUAACAGGAUUACAUGGGGCUUAGGGGGUCAUGCUGCC
rnacentral:sRNA from 1 species